GAUCCUGGCUCAGGAUGAACGCUAGCUACAGGCUUAACACAUGCAAGUCGAGGGGGCAGCAUGUUGGUUGCUUGCAACCAACGAUGGCGACCGGCGCACGGGUGAGUAACGCGUAUCCAACCUGCCCUUGUCCAUCGGAUAACCCGUCGAAAGGCGGACUAACACGAUAUGCAGUUCACAGCAGACAUCUAACGUGAACGAAAUGUGAAGGAGAAGGAUGGGGAUGCGU
rnacentral:rRNA from 1 species